CAAGAUGUAGUUUAAUAAAAGCCCCUCGCUUACAACGAGGAGAUGUCUGUUUAAUUCAGACCAUCUUGA
rnacentral:tRNA from 1 species